CGGGCCGUGGCGCAGCUUGGUAGCGCACCUGCUUUGGGAGCAGGGGGUCGCCGGUUCGAAUCCGGCCGGCCCGACCA
rnacentral:tRNA from 1 species